AAGAAAGUCCUUAUUGGUUUCUACCGUGGUUGAGAGAUGGAUAUAUUUCCUAUGGGUAUGCGACGCAUGGGAUGUGUAAUGAUUCUUCUUCUAGAUAGGUUUGACGGAAGGUUUUUGCUAGAUGAGUACUGUUCAGUUCUAGAAAGAAGUUAGUGAAACUCUAUGCAACGGGCAGCCUCAGAUGACCAAAUAAAUGAUACUGCUAAUUGGAAGUGAUUUGACAAAAGUAUACGUCUCAGGAGAGGGUAAUAUGAUUAAACUGAUGAUACUUCGGUAGUAUUAUAGCACUUUCUUGCUAAACCGACUGCUGAUAUCUGAGUUUGUUUGAUGGCAUAGGAGAAUUGUAGAAUAUCUUUCGUCGAAUGAUUGGGUACUCAAGGUGUAAUAUGUAUUCAUACUACAGAUUUUGGGAUCAGGUACUGUGAUUCGUGUGCUAUAUGGAGUUAGAGACUGGGAAUUCUCAGGUCAUACUGUGUAGCGGUUAUGGAUCAUCUGAUUGGCACCGUUAUCGGCUAUUGGGAUUUGGAAGCCCGAGUGGAUCUUCUUUGCUUGGUAUAUUAGAUUCUGGAUAUGAUAUUAGGAUGUAGACUGGUUGUCUCAGUGUUGGGUUAUUGUAGACUAUUGUGCUAUGGGUUAUUGUAAGCACGUGAUUUUUGCUUCACAAGAAUUAC
rnacentral:lncRNA from 1 species